AAUGGGACAUUGCUCUUUCUCAAACAGUGAGAUGGAGCUGUACUCAGAGCAGGCAGGUCCAGUUCCCGAUGGAGCAUCUCAAGAAGACUCAUGGAUGGGAGAUCCAAUAAAGUAGAGAGGCAAGUAAUGCUCUCUUUUCAGCUGACUUCGUUCCUAACAUUCCUUUGCAACGGGCGACUCUCCAAGAUAAGUUUCUGUGUGCAGCCUGAGCACAGAGGUUCUGAACAGUUAACACACAGGUCAGAAAGGGUCCCCAGGCUUCCCAGCCUCCCUCUGGUCCUUCCCACCUUCAGGUAGGAUGCAGAGACAGGUACCUCCUUCCUUCCCCAUGGCCACUAGCUGGUGGCCAGAUCCCAAGCCUGCGCCUGGCCCGCCACUUCUGGAGCCCCCUCUCCAGCGUGGCCACGGUGAAAAGCGAGCGACCCUCGGCGCGAGCCACACACUCACGCGCUACCGCUUGUUGCUCCCCGCAGCCGCGACGUGGGGAAGUGAAAAUGAAAUUGACUUUUCCGAGAAAUGAUGAAAGCCGCGCUGCCCGCCAAUGAACAGCGGCGGCGAACUUCCGCACCUC
rnacentral:lncRNA from 1 species